rnacentral:rRNA from 1 species
GGUUAAGCGACUAAGCGUACACGGUGGAUGCCCUGGCAGUCAGAGGCGAUGAAGGACGUGCUAAUCUGGGAAAAGCGUCGGUAAGGUGAUAUGAACCGUUACAGCCGGCGAUGUCCGAAUGGGGAAACCCAGUGCAAUUCGUUGCACUAUCGUUAACUGAAUACAUAGGUUAACGAGGCGAACCGGGGGAACUGAAACAUCUAAGUACCCCGAGGAAAAGAAAUCAACCGAGAUUCCCCCAGUAGCGGCGAGCGAACGGGGAGCAGCCCAGAGUCUGAAUCAGCUUGUGUGUUAGUGGAACGGUCUGGAAAGUCCGACGGUACAGGGUGAUAGUCCCGUACACCAAAAUGCACAGGCUGUGAACUCGAAGAGUAGGGCGGGACACGUGGUAUCCUGUCUGAAUAUGGGGGGACCAUCCUCCAAGGCUAAAUACUCCUGACUGACCGAUAGUGAACCAGUACCGUGAGGGAAAGGCGAAAAGAACCCCGGCGAGGGGAGUGAAAAAGAACCUGAAACCGUGUACGUACAAGCAGUGGGAGCACCUUCGGGUGUGACUGCGUACCUUUUGUAUAAUGGGUCAGCGACUUAUAUUCUGUAGCAAGGUUAACCGUAUAGGGGAGCCGCAGGGAAACCGAGUCUUAACUGGGCGUUAAGUUGCAGGGUAUAGACCCGAAACCCGGUGAUCUAGCCAUGGGCAGGUUGAAGGUUGGGUAACACUAACUGGAGGACCGAACCGACUAAUGUUGAAAAAUUAGCGGAUGACUUGUGGCUGGGGGUGAAAGGCCAAUCAAACCGGGAGAUAGCUGGUUCUCCCCGAAAGCUAUUUAGGUAGCGCCUCGUGAAUUCAUCUUCGGGGGUAGAGCACUGUUUCGGCUAGGGGGUCAUCCCGACUUACCAACCCGAUGCAAACUACGAAUACCGAAGAAUGUUAUCACGGGAGACACACGGCGGGUGCUAACGUCCGUCGUGAAGAGGGAAACAACCCAGACCGCCAGCUAAGGUCCCAAAGUCAUGGUUAAGUGGGAAACGAUGUGGGAAGGCACAGACAGCCAGGAUGUUGGCUUAGAAGCAGCCAUCAUUUAAAGAAAGCGUAAUAGCUCACUGGUCGAGUCGGCCUGCGCGGAAGAUGUAACGGGGCUAAACCAUGCACCGAAGCUGCGGCAGCGACACUAUGUGUUGUUGGGUAGGGGAGCGUUCUGUAAGCCUGCGAAGGUGACCUGUGAGGGUUGCUGGAGGUAUCAGAAGUGCGAAUGCUGACAUAAGUAACGAUAAAGCGGGUGAAAAGCCCGCUCGCCGGAAGACCAAGGGUUCCUGUCCAACGUUAAUCGGGGCAGGGUGAGUCGACCCCUAAGGCGAGGCCGAAAGGCGUAGUCGAUGGGAAACAGGUUAAUAUUCCUGUACUUGGUGUUACUGCGAAGGGGGGACGGAGAAGGCUAUGUUAGCCGGGCGACGGUUGUCCCGGUUUAAGCAUGUAGGCUGGUUAUCCAGGCAAAUCCGGAUAAUCAAGGCUGAGGUGUGAUGACGAGGCACUACGGUGCUGAAGUAACAAAUGCCCUGCUUCCAGGAAAAGCCUCUAAGCAUCAGGUAACAUCAAAUCGUACCCCAAACCGACACAGGUGGUCAGGUAGAGAAUACCAAGGCGCUUGAGAGAACUCGGGUGAAGGAACUAGGCAAAAUGGUGCCGUAACUUCGGGAGAAGGCACGCUGGUGUGUAGGUGAAGUCCCUGCGGAUGGAGCUGAGACCAGUCGAAGAUACCAGCUGGCUGCAACUGUUUAUUAAAAACACAGCACUGUGCAAACACGAAAGUGGACGUAUACGGUGUGACGCCUGCCCGGUGCCGGAAGGUUAAUUGAUGGGGUUAUCCGUAAGGAGAAGCUCUUGAUCGAAGCCCCGGUAAACGGCGGCCGUAACUAUAACGGUCCUAAGGUAGCGAAAUUCCUUGUCGGGUAAGUUCCGACCUGCACGAAUGGCGUAAUGAUGGCCAGGCUGUCUCCACCCGAGACUCAGUGAAAUUGAACUCGCUGUGAAGAUGCAGUGUACCCGCGGCAAGACGGAAAGACCCCGUGAACCUUUACUAUAGCUUGACACUGAACAUUGAGCCUUGAUGUGUAGGAUAGGUGGGAGGCUUUGAAGCGUGGACGCCAGUCUGCGUGGAGCCAACCUUGAAAUACCACCCUUUAAUGUUUGAUGUUCUAACGUUGGCCCCUGACCGGGGUUGCGGACAGUGUCUGGUGGGUAGUUUGACUGGGGCGGUCUCCUCCCAAAGCGUAACGGAGGAGCACGAAGGUUAGCUAAUCCUGGUCGGACAUCAGGAGGUUAGUGCAAUGGCAUAAGCUAGCUUGACUGCGAGCGUGACGGCGCGAGCAGGUGCGAAAGCAGGUCAUAGUGAUCCGGUGGUUCUGAAUGGAAGGGCCAUCGCUCAACGGAUAAAAGGUACUCCGGGGAUAACAGGCUGAUACCGCCCAAGAGUUCAUAUCGACGGCGGUGUUUGGCACCUCGAUGUCGGCUCAUCACAUCCUGGGGCUGAAGUAGGUCCCAAGGGUAUGGCUGUUCGCCAUUUAAAGUGGUACGCGAGCUGGGUUUAGAACGUCGUGAGACAGUUCGGUCCCUAUCUGCCGUGGGCGCUGGAGAAUUGAGGGGGGCUGCUCCUAGUACGAGAGGACCGGAGUGGACGCAUCACUGGUGUUCGGGUUGUCAUGCCAAUGGCACUGCCCGGUAGCUAAAUGCGGAAGAGAUAAGUGCUGAAAGCAUCUAAGCACGAAACUUGCCCCGAGAUGAGUUCUCCCUGAGACUUUAAGUCUCCUGAAGGAACGUUAAAGACGAUGACGUUGAUAGGCCGGGUGUGUAAGCGCAGCGAUGCGUUGAGCUAACCGGUACUAAUGAACCGUGAGGCUUAACCUU